AUGUGAGAGUUGCCAAUUUGAUAUGGCUGCUUUUAAAUAUGAAUGCAUAUGCUUUGGAAAAUGAAAAUUGCAUUUUGUGUUACUUAUAUGUCACUUGCACCAACUUUAGUUCAGUAUUUGGGUGGAAGUGUUCAGUUAAGAUAGGAUGUCAAAUCUUAGCAAACUGCUUUGGGAUACACUGGCCACCAUUAGCACUUCCAUUCGAAGAGGUUGAGGUAUUUCCCUUCUAUUCUCCUGCUUCUGUUUUAUCAUAAACAUGUUCUCUUUCAAGAGAGUCAAUAAACUCCAAGGUUCUCUUUCAUGAAAACCAGUGGCAUAAUUAUACUAUGGAUUAUGAAUUCCAGCUUUCAAAAUACACAACCAACUAUGAGCUGCAUCUAUUUCAGAUUGAUAUCAAACUAGAGAUGAAUUUAGGGACUUUUCUCGACCAUAAUGGUCUAUCUGUGUCUAUUUCUUCAUGUUCGAGGCCACUACUGUUGUAAUGUUUCUAGUAAUAAGCAUGGUAUGUAUGGUUGCAAUAUACAUAGAUUUUGGAU
rnacentral:lncRNA from 1 species